UCAAAAUGGAUCUUUACAAAGUGUUCGUCAUGCAUGCGGCAUGUAUGCGUCGGAUUAUCAAUUUCACUAUACUGCCAACAAACAUGAGAUUGCCCUCAUUUCACCCCAGUGUGAGUGUUCAUCCCUCAGGGAAUGAAGCAAAAUUCAGCAGAGGAGCCCCAGCUGCUGAAGGCGUCCUGGAAUACAUAUGGAGUGAUGCUUGUAGCAUUAAUUCAUAGUAUAUGUGCCAACCCUAGAUACCUCCUGCAGAGGAUAAAUGCUCUUUCCCUUUCUACUCCACUUUUUGCCAAGACUAGAGCAUGUCCCCAGGCACUGCUGCUUUGACCAACCGCAAACAGUGACAAAAACAAACUCUGUGUGUCUGAAUAUGUACAAAGACAACCAACUCGUGCACUGCAUUAUUCUGCUGGAGAGCUUUUCUACUCUUUGUGCAACAGAGCACAGAUGGUCAAUAAAACAGUGAGAACUGGGUGAAAGGUAACCGGAGCAGUUUUAAUUUGCAAUUUGACACAUUGUGCACACUUUAAAAU